UCCUGCCGGAGGCCAUUGCUAUCGGAAUCCGAUUUAGCCAUGCUAGUCGCACGGGUUAGACCCGUGGCGAACGGCUCAGUAACACGUGGCCAAACUACCCUGUGGACGGGGAUAAUCUCGGGAAACUGAGGCUAAUCCCCGAUAGGGCUUCCAUCCUGGAGUGGAGGAAGUCCGAAAGGUUGCGCUGCGGCACCACAGGAUGUGGCUGCGGCCGAUUAGGUAGACGGUGGGGUAACGGCCCACCGUGCCAGUAAUCGGUACGGGUGAUGAGAGUCAGAGCCCGGAGACGGUAUCUGAGACAAGAUACCGGGCCCUACGGGGCGCAGCAGGCGCGAAACCUUUACACUGCACGACAGUGCGAUAGGGGGAUUCCGAGUGCGAGGGCAUACAGUCCUCGCUUUUCUGGAUCGUAAGGAGAUGCAAGAAUAAGGGCUGGGCAAGACCGGUGCCAGCCGCCGCGGUAAUACCGGCAGCCCGAGUGAUGGCCGAUAUUAUUGGGCCUAAAGCGUUCGUAGCCGGCCAGUCAAGUCUGUUGGGAAAUCCACGCGCUCAACGCGUGGGCGUCCAGCGGAAACUGACUGGCUUGGGGCCGGAGGACUCGAGGGGUACGUCCGGGGUAGGAGUGAAAUCCCGUAAUCCUGGACGGACCACCGGUGGCGAAAGCGCCUCGAGAGGACGGACCCGACGGUGAGGAACGAAAGCCAGGGUCUCGAACCGGAUUAGAUACCCGGGUAGUCCUGGCCGUAAACAAUGUCUGCUAGGUGUGGCGCAGGCUACGAGCCUGCGCUGUGCCGCAGGGAAGCCGUGAAGCAGACCGCCUGGGAAGUACGUCCGCAAGGAUGAAACUUAAAGGAAUUGGCGGGGGAGCACUACAACCGGAGGAGCCUGCGGUUUAAUUGGACUCAACGCCGGACAUCUCACCGGCACCGACAACAGUGAUGACGACCAGGUUGAUGACCUCAUCACGACGCUGUAGAGAGGAGGUGCAUGGCCGCCGUCAGCUCGUACCGUGAGGCGUCCUGUUAAGUCAGGCAACGAGCGAGACCCGCACCCCUAAUUGCCAGCAACAAUUUCGAUUGGUUGGGUACAUUAGGAGGACUGCCAGUGUUAAACUGGAGGAAGGAACGGGCAACGGUAGGUCAGUAUGCCCCGAAUGAGCUGGGCAACACGCGGGCUACAAUGGCUAAGACAAUGGGUCGCUAUCUCGACAGAGAACGCUAAUCUCGAAACUUAGUCGUAGUUCGGAUUGAGGGCUGAAACUCGCCCUCAUGAAGCUGGAUUCGGUAGUAGCCGCCUUUCAGUAGAAGGCGACGAAUACGUCCCUGCUCCUUGUACACACCGCCCGUCA
rnacentral:rRNA from 1 species